CUGAACAUUCUGCGCCCGCCAAAAGGUUUGGACGGUACCUUCAUCCCUUUCGGUAGCCGAGCCAUCCUCGUGCUUUCAGCUAUUUGCAGUCUGCAAACAUGGUACGUUCUAUCUAUCCUCAUCAGCUUUAGCCGCGUCGAUGCUAUGAUAUAACAACGUGCGCACGUAUUAUCGGGCGGCAAAGCUUGUCGGACGAGCGGGUAUUCAGGGUUUGAGGCAGGCGUGGCCGCCCGGCGGCAGCGCGUUAGCGAGCACUGCGAACGGCGGGGCGAUCGACCGGGCGCGCAGCUGCCAUCAUUUUCGCAGAUCAUGAUAAAACUCUUCAUGUUGACCGCCAGACGUAUACAGCUUAUCACGAACUCCUCUCGCGCGUCCUGGACCUAUUAGGGUUUACGCUGGGGAAUGCACUUGCUUCCUUUCCCCCUGCUUACCGCCUUCGUUUCCCCUGCUACCCUCUUGCAGGCCGACAAGAAAGAAAACCC
rnacentral:lncRNA from 1 species